rnacentral:rRNA from 1 species
GACGAACGCUGGCGGCGUGCUUAACACAUGCAAGUCGAACGGAAAGGCCCCCAUCUUGGUGGGGGUGCUCGAGUGGCGAACGGGUGAGUAACACGUGGGUGAUCUGCCCUGUACUUCGGGAUAAGCUUGGGAAACUGGGUCUAAUACCGGAUAGGACCAUGGUUUAGUGUCUCAUGGUGGAAAGAUUAUUGUUUUGGUGCAGGAUGAGCUCGCGGCCUAUCAGCUUGUUGGUGGGGUAAUGGCCUACCAAGGCGUCGACGGGUAGCCGGCCUGAGAGGGUGGACGGCCACAUUGGGACUGAGAUACGGCCCAGACUCCUACGGGAGGCAGCAGUGGGGAAUAUUGCACAAUGGGCGCAAGCCUGAUGCAGCGACGCCGCGUGGGGGAUGACGGCCUUCGGGUGGUAAACUCCUUUCGUUAGGGACGAAGCCACGCUUUUGGGGUGUGGUGACGGUACCUUUGUGAAGAAGCACCGGCUAACUACGUG